CGCAAGGGCUGCGCCCGCCCCCCGACUGCGCGGACCGCUUGAGAGACAGCGGGACAGAGAUGGGCCCAGGGCACUAUCCUCAGGGCCCGAGCGGAGCGCGGCGCUCCGCCUGGCCGCCGCCACCGGCCCGCGCCCCGGCGCGGGGAACAAGCGUGCGCAGGCGGGGGCGCGCGCGUGCCCGGUGGGGGCCGCACGCACGUUCGGCCCCGCCACGCGGGGCGCUGCGGUGCGUCCUCCGCGAAGCCUUCCCGGCUCGGGAGCUGAGCCAUUCCUCUUGAGACCCCCAGGCCUUAACUGGAAUGUCUGCGUCCCCUUCCCUCAGGCUGGUGGUGAGAGAAUCUGCAGUUUGUUCGCCUGCCCAUCCCAGCGUCCGACCAGAAACAGCAGGCACACAGGGGGCGCCUGCUGAGUGUGUGAACCCCCACGGUAGAGCAGGGCACUCUGCGAGAGGAAAACGGUAACAGCAGCGGUCACUCUGUCUCACACCUUCCCAGGCUGGGCGCUCUCAUGCACUCCUGGUUCCAUCUGCGCCCAGGAUAAAUGCAGCGGUGCUGGUCUGCAUUUCGGAGAGGAGAAAACGGAAACCAAAAAGGAUGGACCAUGGAAUGAGCUGAGAGAGUCCCCCUCCCCACCUCCUCAGCCACCACCGAACUUCCCCUUCCCGACUGCCCUCGUGGGUGGGGCCCUCAGAGACCGGGGACCAGCAGGAGACCAACAGAGGCCUUAGCAACGCCCCAAGCCUCUGUGUUGCAGCAACAGGCCACUAGGCAAGGUGGCACUGCACUUGGGCCAGACUUCCUUUUGCUUAUGGAGCAUGCAGCAGCCCCAGGCCCCAGGCCGGAGCCCCCACCCUGGGCCACUGAGAAUGUUCUGCGGCAGGCCGAGGACUGGACAACCAGCCUCAAGACAGAGCUUCCCUCAGAUCUACAACUGAGUGAGGAGCAGCGGCUGCAGAUCUCCAAGGAGUUGGUUGACCUGCAGAUCACAACGCAUCACUUGCGGGAGCAACACGAGGCUGAACUCUUCGAGCUGAAGAGUGAGGUCCUGCGGCUGGAGAGCCGGGUGCUGGAGCUGGAGCUGCAUGGAGAUUGUGCAGCCCCGGCAGAGGCUGACCUGGGGCGCCGCCAGAAGCCGGCACAGGGGCUUGGGCACAAGGCCCGGGAGCAGCUACAGGGAGAAUGGCAGCGAGUGCUGGAGCAGCACAGGGCCCAGAAGCAGGCGCUGGAGACCCGCGUGGCAGAUCUGGGUCGGCGGCUGCAGGGAGCCCGAGAGGAGGCCAAGAUAGCUGGGCAGCGACUGGCCACACAAGCCAUGGUAUUGUCUGCCUGCCAGGGCCAGCUCCGCCAGGCUGAGGCGGAGAACGCCCAGCUGCAGCUGCAGCUCAAGAAGCUGAACCAAGAGUAUGCCAUCCAGCUGCAGCGAUGUGCCCAAGCCGUGGCCGAGUCUGCAAAGCGCACCGGCCAGGUGCCCGAAGCCGCAGCCCUUAGGACGUUCCUGGAGACCACUCUGGAGGACAUCCGGGCAGCACACCGCAGCCGUGAACUGCAGUUGGCCCGGGCUGCUCGCGCCUACCGCAAGCGCCUGGCAGAUCUGAGCCGUAGACAUGAGGAGCUGCUGGCCAACCACAGUGUGCAGCAGGUGCCGGCGGACCCCAGUGGGGCACCCUGGACCCCCGAGGCUACCUUUGAUGCAGCCACCUCAGACCUGGAGCCACUGCCUCUGCACCUGGUCACCGAACUCAGUCACCUACCAGAGAACCAGGCCAGGCUGGAGACGAAGCUCUGGAAGCUCCAGGCCCAGAAGGGACCCAGUGGAGCCUCCCAGGGGAGCACAUCAGAGCCACAGGGUCAGGAACCUGCCUCCUGGGCCCAGAUCCACCAGAAGCUCCGGGACUUCUCCCGUGGCACCCAGAGCUGGAACGUGAGCGGGCAAAGCUACUAGUCCGGGCCACGAUGGCUGAGGAGCAACUUUCUGAGCUACAGGACUAUGUGGACCAGCACUUAGGCAGGUACAAACAAGAGAUCCUGAGGCUGAGGAAGCUAAUGGGUACAGAGGAUGUCUGCAAAGUGGGGGCCACCCCUCCAGUCAAGCCCCAGCACUCCAAGACCCACAGCCGCUAGCCAGCUGUCAAAUGCACUCAGCAGAA